UGUAAUUUGAAGAUUGCGUCUUGGAGGCGACCGUGUCUAUGUUCCUUGGAACAGGACGUCACAGAGGGUGAGAAUCCCGUGCGGCACGGCCCCCGGCUCCUUAUAAGGCGCUCUCGACGAGUCGAGUUGUUUGGGAAUGCAGCUCAAAGUGGGUGGUAAAUUCCAUCUAAAGCUAAAUACAGGCGAGAGACCGAUAGCGAACAAGUACAGUGAUGGAAAGAUGAAAAGCACUUUGAAAAGAGAGUGAAACAGCACGUGAAAUUGUUGAAAGGGAAGGGCAUGCCGUCAGAUUGUCAGUGUGGGUAAGAAGCGGGGUACAAAGACUGUGGAACGUGGCCCUCGGGUGUUAUAGCCGCAGUUCAUGCCCCGUCUCUUUCCGAGGCCUGCUUUGAGGACACCGACGUAAUGACGGUACGCCGCCCGUCUUG
rnacentral:rRNA from 1 species